ACCUUACCAAGGCUUGACAUAUAGGGAAAAGUGGCAGAGAUGUCAUGUCCGCAAGGGCUCUAUACAGGUGGUGCAUGGUUGUCGUCAGCUCGUGUCGUGAGAUGUUGGGUUAAGUCCCGCAACGAGCGCAACCCUCGUUCUGUGUUGCCAGCAUUUAGUUGGGGACUCACAGGAGACUGCCGGGGUUAACUCGGAGGAAGGUGGGGAUGACGUCAAAUCAUCAUGCCCCUUAUGUCUUGGGCUGCACGCAUGCUACAAUGGCCGGUACAGAGGGCUGCAAUACCGUAAGGUGGAGCGAAUCCCAAAAAGCCGGUCUCAGUUCGGAUUGAGGUCUGCAACUCGACCUCAUGAAGUUGGAGUUGCUAGUAAUCGUAGAUCAGCAACGCUACGGUGAAUACGUUCCCGGGGCUUGUACACACCGCCCGUCACGUCACGAAAGUCGGUAACACCCAAAGUCAGUGGCCCAACCGCAAGGG
rnacentral:rRNA from 1 species